CGCAUCUGUGCAUGCAGCAUAUCAAUAAGCGGAGGAAAAGAAACUAACAAGGAUUCCCCUAGUAACGGCGAGUGAAGCGGGAAGAGCUCAAAUUUGAAAUCUUAAAGGGUUUCCCUUUACGAAUUGUAGUUUAAAGAAGUGUUUUCUGUUGAGGUUUUGGUAAAAGUUCUUUGGAAUAGGACAUCAUAGAGGGUGAGAAUCCCGUAUUUGACCUUUACUUUCAACUUUGUGAUACACUUUCAAAGAGUCGGAUUGUUUGGGAAUGCAGUCCAAAAUGGGUGGUAAAUUUCAUCUAAAGCUAAAUAUUGGCGAGGGACCGAUAGCGAACAAGUACCGUGAGGGAAAGAUGAAAAGAACUUUGAAAAGAGAGUUAAACAGUACGUGAAAUUGUCAAAAGGGAAGCGUUUGACACCAGUGUUGUUUUUCUGAAAAUCAAUUAAAGAACUGUUUAUGCUAAGCUGUUUAGACUUUAUCAGCUAACUGUUUAGUUUUGAGCUUUUCUUUAAUGCACUUUUCAGUUAACAAGUCAACAUCAAUUUCUUUUGCUGUAAAAAAGCUUGAGGAAGGUGGCUUGAGAUUCGUCUUAAGUGUUUAUAGCCUCUUGCCUAUGCAGUCGGAGAGAUUGAGGUCUGCAGCGUAGAUCCUUCGGGGCUAAAUGCAUUUGUGCUAAGUUAUAGCAUUUUAUAGACAACUUGUUGACUAUGAUUUGUCUAUGUAGCUUACUCGCUUAUGUUAUUUUACCUACGCUUAGGAUGUUGAGUCAUCACACAUCUCU
rnacentral:rRNA from 1 species